GCCUCCUGGAGUGAUAGGAUUACAGGCGUGAGCCACCGUGCCCGGCCUAUUUAAACAUUUUUUGAUAACAUUUUAUUCCUUACAAUGAUUUAAGCAGUGAUUUUUAACAAAAUCUCUAAGGUUUUCCUAAAUUUUAUAACUAACAUGAUUUGAUAUCUCUUACAAUUAAAGAGAUCUCAAAGAGAAUGUUUUCUACAAGACCUUGUAUGAGAAGAGCACCUUAGGAGGGCUCAUCAUUUUAUCAGUUGGGGACUGACUACAAUGGCUUAAACACAUGAGGGUUUAUUGUCUCAUAUAAAGGAAAUUCAGUUCUAUGUAGUCCAGACUGAUAUGGCGGCUCCAUGCACAUCAGAGACCCAGGCUCUUCCUUUCUUCUCCACCAUCCAUAUGGUAGACGACGAUGCUGGAACUCCAGCCAUCGCAUCCAUCUUGCAGUUCUUCUCAGACUGGGCCAUCUUGGAUCCAUUCACUGGGAUCAGACUCAGGAGCCCCCAGCGGUGACUGUCCCUGGGCCCUGUGUGGAGGACAGCCUGUGGGUGGUGCUGCUAAGUCCCUCCCAGACCAGGGGACUUGUGGAAUAGUCACCACAGUCUCUCCUCCAGUCAAGGACAAGCAAGCCAUGAGUAAGGUCUCAUUUCAUCUCGUGGGUAAUUAAAGAGUGGAGAGGCCUGCAGUUCCAGUUCUACAUGUUGGCUCUGGACCACGGCGGGAGCAGAACACUCUGUGUGUUACACUGUGAAGCAGCCACAUAUUUUUGACUGAUGAACAGAUGGACAUAUCCUACUUCUCCUCUUACUUCCCCUGCCUGAUGCAGUGGUCAAGGGCAGCUUGAUGGCACAGUGGCCAAGCUUGUUUCUGAGGAGAUUUGGACUGCCCCUGGACCCGCAGUGUCUUGGGCCACUGGAAGGAGGCAGGCAAGAACAGGAGGAGAUGCAGGAGGUUUCUAAUUAGAAGAGCAUCUAGUGAACCCACC